rnacentral:rRNA from 1 species
GCGAACUACGAGCCAGCGGGCGCGGUAAGACGGAGGGUGCAAGGGUGGGCCGGAUUUAUUGGGCGGAAAGAGUUCGUAGGCGGUUCGUUAAGUCUGAUGUUAAAGGUCGGGGCCCAACCCUGAGAGUGCAUUGGAUACUGGCGAACUGGAGUGCAGUAGAGGCGAGUGGAAUUCCCAGUGUAGCGGUGAAAUGCGUAGAUAUUGGGAAGAACACCGGUGGCGUAGGCGACUCGCUGGGCUGUAACUGACGCUGAGGAACGAAAGCCAGGGGAGCGAAAGGGAUUAGAUACCCUAGUAGUC